GUGGGGAAUAUUGGGCAAUGGGGGAAACCCUGACCCAGCGACGCCGCGUGAGGGAAGACGGCCUUCGGGUUGUAAACCUCUUUUGUACGGGAAGAAGGAAGUGACGGUACUGUACGAAUAAGUCCCGGCUAACUACGUGCCAGCAGCCGCGGUAAUACGUAGGGGACGAGCGUUGUCCGGAAUUACUGGGCGUAAAGGGCGCGCAGGCUGUGCUGCAAGUCAGCUGUGAAAUGUCUGGGCUUAACCCGGGCAUGCGGUUGAGACUGCAGUGCUGGAGUGCUGUAGAGGCAAGUGGAAUUCCCAGUGUAGCGGUGAAAUGCGUAGAUAUUGGGAAGAACACCGGUGGCGAAGGCGACUUGCUGGGCAGCAACUGACGCUGAGGCGCGAAAGCCAGGGGAGUAAACGGGAUUAGAUACCCUAGUAGUCC
rnacentral:rRNA from 1 species